rnacentral:rRNA from 1 species
UACGUAGGCAGCAAGCGUUGUUCGGAAUUACUGGGCGUAAAGCGUGCGUAGGUGGUUUGUUAAGUCUGUUGUGAAAGCCCCGGGCUCAACCUGGGAAUGGCAAUGGAUACUGGCAGGCUAGAGUGCGGUAGAGGGUAGUGGAAUUCCCGAUGUAGCGGUGAAAUGCGUAGAGAUCGGGAGGAACACCAGUGGCGAAGGCGGCUACCUGGACCAGCACUGACACUGAGGCACGAAAGCGUGGGGAGCAAACAGG